rnacentral:lncRNA from 1 species
AUUUAAUUCUUCCAUGAAAUCAAUUUGAUAUACUUCAGAAGAAUGAAAAAAAAAAUAGUUUUCAACAGCUACAAUUUUCUUCUGAUUAAUAUAAUCAAAAACGAAAAAAUUAAGAAAAAACAUAAACAAACGCACACGCACACACACGAAAUGAAUGCAUGAAAAACAUAAGAAGGUAUAAUAAAAAAAGAAGUAUUGAUCAAAGACGCCAACAUCUAAAUCCCGAUAACAAAAUUAACCUGCCAAAUGCUUUGUAAAAUGCUCCUCCUUUUAUUCAUAUUUACAUCGAUAUUCAUAUAAAAAAAACUCCAGUUAUAUUCAUUUUAUCGUUCAAAUAUUCCUGGUUGAAAAUUUUGAACAGUUUGACCGGUUUGAAGGUAUAAGCAGAGCAGUUAUUGUACAUCUCGAUUACAUUCAUUAAGAAUAUCUCAGAGAAAGUGCCCUACCUCAACAUUUAUACUUUAUCCGUUGGAAAAAGUCA